rnacentral:rRNA from 1 species
UGAGGAAUAUUGCUCAAUGGGCGAAAGCCUGAAGCAGCGACGCCGCGUGGAGGAUGAAGGCCUUCGGGUUGUAAACUUCUGUUAAAUGGGAAAAAAGACGUCUGAGUAAUAUGCAGACGUGAUGAUGGUACCAUUAGAGAAAGCACUGGCUAAUCUCGUGCCAGCAGCCGCGGUAAUACGAGAGGUGCAAGCGUUGUUCGGAUUUACUGGGUGUAAAGGGUGCGCAGGCGGCAUGUUAAGUCAACUGUUAAAUCUUCCGGCCUAACUGGAAGUCUGCAGUAGAAACUGGCAAGCUCGAGUAUGGAAGAGAGGAGUGGAAUUCUCGGAGUAGCGGUAAAAUGCGUAGAUCUCGAGAGGAACAUCGAUGGCGAAAGCAGCUCUUUGGUCCAUUUCUGACGCUCAUGCACGAAAGCGUGGGGAGCAAACAGG